UGGGGGAGAGAAGACAUGUGGAGUCAGCGUCUACCCACCUACGUGUACAGCCUUUCCAGCUCACCACCUGGUCCAGGACGGGCUGUUGGACGUACGUGUGGGAGUAGGCUGUCUGCAUAGGAACCGUUCACUGAUGAAUUCUAGAAGACACAGGUCUGGGAUGGCCCUGUGGACACAACUCCUGAAAUGAGACCGAAUGACUGCAGAGACUGGCGCCACUGAAAAACAGAGGGAAAGAAAGGGCUUAUCGGAGAGUCCUCAGAUUAUGAUGAAAAUUCUUCAGGCAUUUAAAAGUCGACUUGUGAGAAGCCGCUGUAACCGUGCCAAGAGCCAGCUCUGUGGACCUCAGGAAUCUCAUGCUUCCAUCUCUGCUGCUGCCAACACCACGGUCAUGUUUUAUGUGUGCCCGUGUGAAUGGGGCCUCUGGGGAUCACAGACCCAGCUCCCCUCCCAGGUAGCGCCCUGCCCCAUGCAGGACUCUUCUCAACCCCAUGCUUCUAUAUCUGUGGGGAAGGUUGUUCCAAGCCCUUCCGGCCAAUGACACUCAGGCUUUUGGGUUGGGCAAAUUCUCAGGUCCCUCCGUGCCAUCCUACCCACUCUGGAGGGACUAACUAGUAUUUCUCUUAUAGCACUGAAAAAUAAAAUUUAUUUUGGGCCUCACAGAGCUCUAGGGACCACGUGGCUGUGUCAGCCCCAGGAGGAGGCAAGGAAAGGGUCCCUAUGGAGCCCAAAUCCGACAGGCAGAAGCCAGGUCAGAUGGUGCCCUGAGAACGUGCAGUCUAGAAGACCCAACCUGAGCCCUGACAACCCUCACCAGGAACUCAUAAGGAGGUGG
rnacentral:lncRNA from 1 species